ACUAACAAUUAGUAAAGUGUGGAGAUUUUUUUUCCAAAUUUAAUGACACGGAUGUAAAUUGCCAAUCGUGCCAAAAACAAUUGAAGUAUUGUAAAAAUACAACCAAUAUGCUUCAGCACUUAAAACUCAAACAUACGAAAGAGUUCGCGUCCCUAAAGGAAAAUUUGAAAACGGCGGGCUGCGGGAAUUCUGCCUUUCAAAAAAUAAAUUUAACUCUAUUUGUCAACACUAAAAAUCAUGAAUACCAGUAUCGAUUCGUGAUUUUGUAUCGUACAAUCUAUCGAAAAAAAACACAAAGGUGCACGAAGUGGAUCUGCACAGAAAGAAAACAUUGAUUUUGAGCAAACUCCAACAAAAGCCACAAAGCAAAAGAUAGUACUUUGCCUCUUUCUGACAAAUCACACAUGAAUUCACCUGGGUAUUCUCUCAAACAAAAUUUUGCGACAGCAUGAGCGUUAACGAAUUAAAAUACACCGUACUACAACAUAAUUAACAAGUAAGAAAGCUCUAGUCGAGACUGCUCGAUUACGAAAUCCCCUGAACCCUUCGAAAAAUUCUUAUUUCACAAUAAGGGAGCCGAUGAAUACGAAGUUGUCUGGGGUCGCAAUGCUCCAAAAAAAGCUUUACACUACGUGUUCAGUCUAAGUGUUCUAGGGUUAGUGGUAUAAUUAUGUAUGCAUGUUGGUAUGUACUAUAUACAUACAGACAGUCAAGGCAAAAAGUCAUCAUAUACCACCCAUAUUUCGAUAUUUCGGAUUUUCUCAACGAAAAUUUAAAAGUGGGACACGCACACUGUUCUAGCUAACCCUUUCCUCUUUCCAAGAAAACGGUGUUUCCGGAAGACCUGGUCAAAAACUGAUGUGUUGGUCUUUCAACUUCCGUCAUUAAAAUAUCCAGAUGACACGCAGCAGUACUUCAUCAAAGCAACUCUGGAUGUCAACACAGCUCGCUGGGGUAUGAUACUUGAGGAUUUGUCUCUGUAUAAUAUCCAUAAAUAAAUAAUAAAUACCUAAAACAAAUAGUAAAGAGCUACUUAAGAGCUGCCAGGAUA